CCACUACAAAAAUUUGCUUCAAAGCCCGACGCACUUCCUGGGGGCUCGGUUUGAACUCCAAAAUAUAUUAAUAAAUGUUCAGAUAAUUGCCUGUGUUUAAUGGUGGUGCAAUGGUUCAACAAGCCCACAGUUCAGUCUUAAAGUCAUUGAAGGGUUAAUAUUUUUACGGUGCGGUUUUACAUCCCUAUUAUAUUUAUAUACCCAAAUCACAAGUUUGUCUCGGAGGGCUUGAAUCAGAAAAAAAACACGUCAACUUGAAGAACAUGUUAGAAAAACCUGAUGUAACUGGAGUGAGUUUCCAACAAAUAGUGUGACUCUGUCGAUGUAUCCUCAUUAGACCCAACUGUCUCUUUGCUAUCUGUGGACUUAAUCAGUGCCUUCAAGCUCACAGCCACAAUGAGACCGUCACAGACCCACUAUGAUGACUGUAACCAUUACCCAAACUGAUACCAGUCAUCAGUUAACAAGCCCAAGUGUCAGCUUUGUUUUGCACUGAAACACAUCAGCCUUAGAUGAUGUAUUUUCCUGAAUUCACUGGUGACUUAAUUAGUGCACGGCCAUUUUUUGGUGCGUCUGUGUUUAUAUCCCUUAUGGUUUUAUGUUGGUCUACUUUUCAGAACAUUUUACAUCAUCUAGCACUGCAGAGGGAUAUAUAUCUGAUUGAUUGUGGUCUUGUUUUUGUGUUUAUGGCAACUUGUAAACACGUGUGAUAGAUAAUCCAGUUCAGUGCAUUGUUGUGAGUGCUGCUGUGUUUGUGUGUGAUGGAGAGACAGAGUGAGUGUUGUCUGAGAUAGGCUGAGCUGCCCUCCCUGUCCUGCUGCCUCCUUCCUUUGUCUCUAUCCUCUGGGGGAGAACAGCUCCACUGGCAAACAGCAAACAAUAGAGACGAGUGGCUCUGUCUAACCUGCCUUUUCUCCUCGUCUCUGUAACCUGCCGUCUCGCUUUGAGCCUCACCUCGACUCAGGUUGCCCAGGACUGGAGGACUGCGGACCAUGUGGAGGGGAGCAGCAGUGUGCCUGAUCCUGAUCCUGAUCCUGUCUACAAGGCCUGCCAGGGACAAUAGAAAUGUGGCCAGCAGUGAUUUUUGUCUUACUUUACGACAUCCCUGCAUCCCCUUCCUGAGGAGUUCUCACCCCUCUCUGCCCACCUCCUGCUGCUCCCUCCUGUGUGCAGUGAUGGUGGUGGUGGUGGGGGCUCUCGCUGCCGUGGGGGCUGGGCGCUCAAACAAUAGUGCCGAUCUAGGAAUUGAAAGCCUUCGAUGAACAGAAAAGCAAGGAAGCAGGCAGGGAAGGUGCAGACAGAAGGAUAAAGCAGGCAUGGCUCAGCCCACUUAUAUAUAGUAGGUGGGUUUUCCAACUAUACAAGGACACUGCAAUGUCACACAAACAUAACAUAUAUCUAUGAAUUCAUACUGAAAUGUUCAUGGUAAAUAUGUAGAAAUAUAUUUCUUCAGGUAUGCACAUAUGAAUGCCUGGAGAAGAAGAAUAUUAUAUGUCAUUGAUAAACAAAUCAAUUAUGGAAAGCACAAUUAAUUAGAAUUUGCUGAACCCUGGAGCAGCAGAGGAAAAAAAGACGAGUUUUGGCAUUGUGAUGGAAGCGUGCCUGUAUAGGGGGAGAGAUAGAGAGCUUCAUUUAUUUUCAUUAGCAGCAUCUAUGGACCAGACUCAUGCCUGCUGCGAGCUCUGAUGCUGCUCUGACUGCUGCUCCAUGCAUAAACAUAUAUCCCCAAGACGUCUGUCCUUGCUCGGCUACAGCCAAGCCUCUGUCACGCAAGGUUAAUUUUACCUCCGUCUCCCCUCUUUCCAUUUUUCACAUCCCUCCUAUACAAUUCAUGCCAUUCAUCAACCAUCUCGCAGAGGACGGCCAGGCCGAGUACCUGCAGCAGCUCUCCAGGGUGCUGAAUAGGACGACUGUGGGGUAGAAGGAGUGAGCUGUUGGGGGGGAGGGCUGCUGCAGCGAGCUUUGCUAUAUUAAUUCCUCAUACUAGGCACGGUGGUAUGGAAUGAUUGCAUGCAUGCAGGCAGGGAGGAGGGAGACGUAGACCUGCCAUUACAAUAAACUGACAAGUCCUCCAUUAGUGGGGAAGACUCGCUGACAAUGUCAUUCCUCAUUUGCUCAGACAGACAGAGAAAGGGCCUGUCAAAUAUGCAGUUUCUGACAUAUUUGUUUUACCUAACGAAUCCUUUUAUGGCGACUUGUUUUAGAACCGUAAACAUGUUUUUAUACCAAUUGUCUCUCUAAUGUGACUUCCAGUCACUGUAAGGCAGUAGGCCAGUAAACAAAGCUGUAGCCAUCUCCUCGUAGAGGUCAAAUUUGAGGACUGAAUCUUAAACAAUCACUGAUGAGGCAAGGCUUUCUUUCUUCUCCAAUCAUGGUGAACAGCCCCACCUGAUGGUGUGGUCUCGGUACAACAUGCUCUGUUGUCUAACAGAGACAUGAUGUGUAGUGCAAGCAGUCCUCUAGAUGCUGCUAUUGUGCAUUUUGUUUUCUAAUGAGAUUAA